GACGUAGGAUGCAAGCGUUGUCCGGAAUUAUUGGGCGUAAAGAGUUCGUAGGCGGUUGCCUAAGUCUGAUGUUAAAUACUGGAGCUCAACUCCGGCAUGGCAUUGGAAACUGGGCGGCUAGAGUGUGGUAGAGGUCUCGGGAAUUCCAGGUGUAGCGGUGAAAUGCGUAGAUAUCUGGAGGAACACCGGUGGCGAAGGCGGCAUCCUGGACCGGUAUUGACGCGUGAGGCGGCGAAAGCCAGGGGAGCCAAACGGGG
rnacentral:rRNA from 1 species